CCUUUCUCUCCAUAAAUUCAGCAAGAUGUUUUAUCAUGAAAUUGAAUGGCGGUAAGCAACUAGAAAACAGAUGGAAUAGGAGCCUCAUGACUCCACCACCUAUAUGGAACCCUGCCAUAGCUCAAAUCAAUACUGGAUGGAAAGCUGCAUAGCAUACCCAGGACCCGAGCAACACACCAUUGUCCUUUGCUUGCGGAGUGGAUAAAUAUAGAUUUCAAUCGACUUCAGCACUGAAUUCUUUAUAGACUCUGAAAUAAAAUAACAAUAAUAAAAACAUCCAAACAAGGAUGGUCUCACGGAGAGAGGAUUUUUUGGAGUGAAAUGUACAGUUGAUUAACGGUA
rnacentral:sRNA from 1 species